UACGUAGGGGGCAAGCGUUGUCCGGAAUCAUUGGGCGUAAAGAGCGUGUAGGCGGCCAGAAAAGUCCGCUGUGAAAUCUCGAGGCUCAACUUCGAGCUGUCGGUGGAAACUGUCUGGCUAGAGUCCGGAAGAGGAGAAUGGAAUUCCUGGUGUAGCGGUGAAAUGCGCAGAUAUCAGGAAGAACACCCGUGGCGAAGGCGGUUCUCUGGGACGGUACUGACGCUGAGACGCGAAAGCGUGGGGAGCGAACAGG
rnacentral:rRNA from 1 species